GUUGUUAGGGACAUCACAAUUUAUUAGCUUCACUUAGAACCUUCAAAUGUUUAAACAUAUGGUACAUGGAUCUCUAUUUGUACUCUUAUUACUCUGCCCUGCAAAUGUUACAGGGCAGGCCUGACAAAACUUGAGGCACAGCUUCCCCCUAGCUUAGAGUGGCAGCUCUAGAAAAUAUCGACAUCCAUUCAGCAGGAGCUACUUGACUUGCAGUUGGGUCUGCGACCUCAAGCAACUCCCUGUCCAGCAGGGGACAUCUAUCAUGGCCACAAGGUACACAUGCCCUGAGAUGGUCUACUGUCCAAGCAAAGUAGUCUGGGAGAUCAGAGAAGGGGUAGGAGCAGCAUGGAAGGCUCUACCAAAAGGGAGAGUGUUUAAGAGGAAUUCCCAUUGAGUAGUGACAGCGGGAGAGGCCUGGCAGGAGGAAGGAACAAUAUACAAAAGGUAUCCCUUUCUCCUCUUUGAUCCCCUUAUUCUCCUCUUCCUCCCGUACAUAGAGCUGGAAAUAGAAGUUUGAAAUACAAGAAUGUCUUCACUGUUGUCUCCUGCUUCCCUGGAGAGAUGCAUACUUAUUCUUGCCUUGAGGGAGAACAAAAAGGGAACACACAAUUUAAUAUGUAGAACUUUGUACCAGGUACUGAGUUGAAAGCUUUACAGGCAUAAUCGCUUGUAAUCCUGAUGACAAUCUAUUGAGAUAUGUAGUAUCAUCUGCACUCUACAGAUACAACUGAGACUCAGAAACAACUUAAUUUGUCUACAGUCACAUUAAGUUGCAUGCUUUGGAUGGAAAGACCCAAAGGCUUGUCUGAUUCUAAAGCCUGUGUUAUUCCCGUUCCAUUAGAUUGCUCCCACUGAGCCCCCAUCCACAGGAAGAAUGGUCCUGGCUUUGCUGACAUGCCAUAUAACCUAGGUUUUAAACCAUGUGACCACAAAAGGUACUCCAGGCCCAAACAUGAUGAUGAUGAUAAUGAUCAUCAAUACUUGUGGAGUACUUACAUGCCAGGAACUGCACUAAGGCUUUUGCUAUGCGAUAGUGAUGAUAUAUGUUGUGACCAUUUCACAUAUGAGGAAACUAAGGCUUGGUGUUUGGUCUCACUCAAGCCAGGAAAUGGCAGAGGUAGGAUGAAUAUGUGCGAAACCAGAGCUGAUCUCAUAAUCUUGGCCCAGAACGGCUUCAAAACUGGGCAUGCCCUGUAUCUGCCUUGUCAGUUUCUUCCUCUACCUCCUAACACCGAUCCUUGGAGCAUAAACUCACAGGACCUAGCUGAAGGCAUACUCUCAAGUCCAAGAGCCAAUCAGCACUUGCUGUGAGCUUUGGGGAUGGCCCCCGCCCCCUUCCUAUGCCUUAAGGGUUGGCUCCUCACAGUGAUAAUGUGGCAAGAUUAGUCACUGCUUGCUGUUGGUUGAUUAUAGCUAUUCUUUUCUGUAAAUGAAGUUUAAAAGUCAUCAAAGGGUUUGUCAGCUGUGACUUAUGAGCCUCUUUCCCACAGGGAAGUCAGGCAGUGACAAAUGCCCCUCUUGUUUUGCCAUCCAUUACAAGUUGGAAGGUGCCAUGUUCCAAUUACUGGAAAUCCCGAUGGAGCUCAAGGAAAACCCUGCUCCAAGCUAUGGCCAUUACUCAGGCCUGGCAGGGCUGCCGUAGGCGCAGGCCCAACUAGGUAGGAAUGGAAUAAGAGUGUUCUUCUGAUUUUGUGAGCAGGCCCCUUCUACCCCUUAACUUAAUAUCCCUGGUAGUUUAUCCUAGACACAUUUCACAGACAAUAAAAACAUAGGUACCAUGUGGGCUGUCUGAAAGUACAGCAGGAUCAAGACUGCUUACGACAGGCAGACAUAAGGAAAUAAGGUCAUGCUGUCCUAUGAACUAGGCAGGAAACAUGAUGUUGAGGAAGGGUGGGGAAGGCAGAGGAUAAAGUAUGUAGGAUGUUCAGAGAAAGUAGUGAGUAAAAGGAACCUUACAGAUCCUCUAGAGUAACCAAUGGCCUCAGUACUGAAUACUCAUUAUAUGCCAGGCCUAUCUAGCCAGAUGCUGUGGAACCAGAGAUGAAUAAAGUCCCUGGUUCCUAGGAUAUGCCACCUGAU